rnacentral:rRNA from 1 species
GACGAACGCUGGCGGCGUGCUUAACACAUGCAAGUCGAACGGAAAGGCCCUGCUUUUGUGGGGUGCUCGAGGGGCGAACGGGUGAGUAACACGUGAGUAACCUGCCCUUGACUUUGGGAUAACUUCAGGAAACUGGGGCUAAUACCGGAUAGGAGCUCCUGCUGCAUGGUGGGGGGUGGAAAGUUUCGGCGGUUGGGGAUGGACUCGCGGCUUAUCAGCUUGUUGGUGGGGUAGUGGCUUACCAAGGCUUUGACGGGUAGCCGGCCUGAGAGGGUGACCGGCCACCUUGGGACUGCGAUACGGCCCAGACUCCUACGGGAGGCAGCAGUGGGGAAUAUUGCACAAUGGGCGGAAGCCUGAUGCAGCAACGCCGCGUGCGGGAUGACGGCCUUCGGGUUGUAAACCGCUUUCGCCUGUGACGAAGCGUGAGUGACGGUAAUGGGUAAAGAAGCACCGGCUAACUACGUG